GUUCUCCUAUAGCUAUUGUGACAAACUUUCCUUUAAAGACACCCCACCACCCCUGACAGACAGUUCUCAGGUCAGAAAUCUAAAGCAGGCUACCAUGAGCUACGGCCAUGAUUCACAGCAAUUUUAAAAGAACUGUAGGGCCUGGCGUGGCUGUGUUCCUUCUGUAGCCCCAGGGGGAGAAGCUCAGCUAAACGCAUCCCCAAGCUAAGCUAAGGGGAUCUUGCCUUUUCCAGCUCUCAGGGACCCGCUGCCCACAUUCUUGGCUUGUGGUCCCUUCCACCUCCCAAGCCGGCAAUCACAUCCCUGCAGCCAGCACUUCCACAUGUCCUGGCUUUCUUGUGCCUCUUCCACGUCUAAGGAUGCUCACUGGGCUCUCCUGGAAACUCCAGGUAAUCUUAUUAAAUCAUCUGCUCGGCAAUUUUAACCCUGGCUGCCCCCUCAUGACACAGCCUAGCAUGCUCGGAGGAGUAGAGAUGAAGAUGAUGUAACUCCAGGGAACUGCUCUUGCCUCCAGAUAUAUUAGUUUAUUUUGCAGGCUCUCCUGUGAGAUAUAUAUAUAUAUAUUAUAUAUAAAAUAGAAUGAAGAAUCUUAUUUUAUUCUUAAAUUGUCAUCUUAGACCAGAGGUUCUCAACCUGUAGGUUGUGGCCCUUUUGGGGUCAAAGGACUCUUUCACAGGGGUCACAUAUCAGAUGGGCUGCAUGUCAGACAUUUACAUGACAAUCCACAACAGUAGAAAAAUUACAGUUAUGAAGUAGCAAUGGAAUAAUCUUAUGGUUGGGGUCAGCACACCGUGAGGCAGUAUUAAAGGGUCACAGGGUUGGGAAGGCUGAGAACCGUGCCUCAGACCUUGAACCUGAACCACUAUUACAGAGCACACAGCCUGUAAAAUGGGCAGAGCACUGGCAGUAAUAUGGCGGAUGAAACGCUGCCCCGUGUGACACGCAGCAGGAGCAGAGCCAGGACGGUGAAGAAUCGAAGCAGGAUAAAGAACACAGGACGUCACCGAGGGACAGAGGAAUGACAGGGCAGCUGAGAAGCACAGAGCCACAGCACGGUGACUCAGUGAAAAAGAAACACCAACCACCAUCCCGGCCUCCAUCUGAUGCUCCCUGGUAGGGGAAGCAGAGGACACAGAGGACAAGAGCACAUGAACCAGAGGGCAGCGCACAGCGUCAGUGCCAGGACAGCACACCAGUCAGUCCCAGGACAGCACAACCCAGCAUCAGUGCCAGGACAGCACAACCCAGCCUCAGUGCCAAGACAGCACAACUCAGUGUCAAUGCCAGGACAGCACACCAGUCAGUCCCAGGACAGAACAACUCAGCAACAGUGCCAGGAGAACACACCAGUCAGUCCCAGGACAGCACACCAGUCAGUGCCAGGCCAGCACACCAGUCAGUCCCAGGCCAGCACACCAGUCAGUCCCAGGACAGCACACCAGCAUUAGUGCCAGGCCAGCACACCAGUCAGUCCCAGGCCAGCACACCAGUCAGUCCCAGGACAGCACACCAGCAUUAGUGCCAGGCCAGCACACCAGUCAGUCCCAGGCCAGCACACCAGUCAGUCCCAGGCCAGCACACCAGUCAGUCCCAGGCCAGCACACCAGCAUUAGUGCCAGGCCAGCACACCAGUCAGUCCCAGGACAGCACACCAGUCAGUCCCAGGACAGCACACCAGUCAGUCCCAGGACAGCACACCAGCAUUAGUGCCAGGCCAGCACACCAGUCAGUCCCAGGCCAGCACACCAGUCAGUCCCAGGACAGCACACCAGUCAGUCCCAGGCCAGCACACCAGUCAGUCCCAGGCCAGCACAACC
rnacentral:lncRNA from 1 species